GUGAGAUUCCCCAGCUUGAAGAUUAUGUAUGUUUGAAACUCUGUUUUGAGGAAGUUAACCAAAUAUUCAGAGGACUUCUGCUGGUUCUUCGCUUGGAGAUUAAUAUCAUGCACAAAAGCUGGACUCACCACUGAGACAUAUUGAACAGAAAACAAGGAUAUGCUUCUGCGUAAAAAACCA
rnacentral:lncRNA from 1 species